rnacentral:rRNA from 1 species
UACGUAGGGGGGCAAGCGUUGUCCGGAAUCAUUGGGCGUAAAGAGCGCGUAGGCGGCCCUGUAAGUCCGCUGUGAAAGUCAAGGGCUCAACCCUUGGAUGCCGGUGGAUACUGCAGGGCUAGAGUCCGGAAGGGGCGAGUGGAAUUCCUGGUGUAGCGGUGAAAUGCGCAGAUAUCAGGAGGAACACCGAUGGGCGAAGGCAGCUCGCUGGGACGGUACUGACGCUGAGGCGCGGAAAGCGUGGGGAGCAAACAGG